UACGGGGGGAGCAAGCGUUGUUCGGAUUUACUGGGCGUAAAGGGCGCGUAGGCGGUUGUGACAAGUCACUUGUGAAAUCUCCGGGCUUAACUCGGAACGGUCAAGUGAUACUGUCGGACUAGAGUACAGAAGGGGCAACUGGAAUUCUCGGUGUAGCGGUGAAAUGCGUAGAGAUCGGGAGGAAUACCUGUGGCGAAGGCGGCCUACUGGGCCGGACCUGGACGCUGAGACGCGAAGGCGUGGGGAGCGAACGGGG
rnacentral:rRNA from 1 species